rnacentral:lncRNA from 1 species
AAUACCAAACUCAUACUUCUUUAACCUAAAAUUUCUCUCUAUAUAAUCAAAAGACACAAAAAAAACCCCAAUCAGAUCCCUAAAAUCAAAAUUAUCUUCUGCCGCUUUCAAAAGGAACCCACCCCCUAGCGCUGCUUCAUCUUCCCCACACUUUGAGCAGCCGAAACCCAGCAACUUCAGUCACCAAAAUAGCAGAAAAAAAAAUCAUGAAAAUCCAACCAUGUAGCCCAGCUCCAAAAACCCCCAAACCAGCCCUCUUCUCAGUCCAAAAAUGACUAUGAAAUAGCCCCAAACAACCUCCAAAAACACAGCAAAAGACCAGCUGUGAACAGCCCCAAAUUCAGCUCUAAUACACCCCAAAACUGGCCCAACACAGCCACAAAAUCUGCUCAAAAUAGCUCCAAAACAAGCUGAAAAACACUCCUCAAAAUAGCUUCAAAACGACCUGAAAAAAACUGGCCCAAGCUCAGCUGAAAUUCCGCCACUAAACAGCCAUGAAAUGUGCUGAAGUUCACACAAAAAUGCAGCUCCACAACUACUGCAAAUCCGCUGAAAAAACAGUCCUAAAAACCAGCCUUCCACCUCCGAGCACCAUCGCUAAAGUUGCCUAAUCGAGUCGAGGUCUUCGAGUUUCAAAAGUUCUGGUCAUGGUCCCUUGUUUCAGUUUCCUGUUGCUAUUGUGAUGGUGAUGCUCAAGGGUAAAGAAGAAAGCUUAUAUUUGAAUUGAAGAAAAUUUGUUGUUAAUUUUUUCUCUUCCCUUUAAUUUGCCUUUCGUUUGAUGCUGUGACGAGUUUUCUGUUUUGUGGAGCUUACAGGACUAUGGACUCUCCAUUAUGAUUUCAUUUAUGAGCUUGGUUCAUCAUGGUUUGUUUACAUUUGUUCUUCUUCGCAAUAUUAUUAUGUUGUUUUAAUUUAUUGGCUUGACUGACAGAUGAAUUCUUGUUUAUCACCC